AGAGACCUCAUGCUCACUUUUUCUUCUGAAUUAAUUGACACUGAAUAUAGGAUCUCAUGCAUGCUAGCAAGUACUCUGUAUGUAUCUAGACACUCAUGCACAUUUUUUUAAUUUUAACAUGGAAUAUCGCUCACUUGCCUCAGCUGGAUUUGAGUUUGUGAUCCUUCUGCCUCAUUCUCCUCCUGAAUAUAUGGCAUUAUAGGCCUGAGUUGCCAGGUCCACACCAACUUUGUCUUAAUAAAUUCCAACUUUGAUUCAUUCGGAAGUUCUCUGUGUGUCUUAAGAGCCAGGGUAAUCCUGAAUGAGUUCUCAGGAGAGCAUCUCCAGGCUGCCAAUGAAGACUGGCCACAUUCCUGAGAACUAACUUUCUGCAAAGCCUCCCAGAGGGUCCAAAUUUAGAACACACGAAGUAAGUAAGAAAAGAUGCCUUCUCUGUUGUGCCUGCAAACAUAAGAAACACUAUACACAUUUCUGGAAAGAACAGGAAACAGUUUUCUGUCAGAGUGAAAGCUUCAGGUGAAGAGACUGGAGCAUGUGGAAGUUUGCAAGAGAAGAGGCCUUCAUCCUAUGUCUGUGGAUUCAAGAGGUUAUGCAGAAUCUGGAUGUUUUCUGUCUAAGUUCCUCUUCCCAUCUUACCACCUGCACAGUAGAAGGAGAAAGGGAUGGGGCAGAGCAAAUAUAAGACUUCAGAACAUUGGGAGUUCAGAGCACAUAUACUUUAGGACAUGUCUAUAGAGCAGGCUAUCACAAU
rnacentral:lncRNA from 1 species